rnacentral:misc_RNA from 1 species
UGAGGGUGAUAUCAACAUGGGUUUGUAGAGACGGAGAUGAAGGUUGUGAGUUUUGUCAAAGAGACAAUCACUGAAGAGGAUGGAGCUGUUAUUGUUGACGGGUAGAUUGAAAUCUGUAGUUUUGGACCUAAAAAUGGUACCAUCACUGAAGAGUUGGAGAACACCCAUGCAGUCUUCUACUAUAUGAGGGAGAGAACUCAUUCUUUUUGUUGUGUUUUUGGUUUCUUUGUUCUUCUCUUAGGGAUAUGAAUAUGAUACUUUGGCAAUGGAGAUGCA